CGUGUAGGCGGUCAGGUAAGUGGAAUGUGAAAUGCCCCGGCUCACCCGGGGACCGGCAUCCCAAACUGCCUGGCUUGAGUAUGGGAGAGGAUGGAGGAAUUCCUGGUGUAGCGGUGAAACUGCGUAGAUAUCAGGAGGAACACCGGUGGCGAAGGCGUCCAUCUGGCCCAAUACUGACGCUGAGGCGCGAAAGCUAGGGGAGCAAACG
rnacentral:rRNA from 1 species